rnacentral:rRNA from 1 species
GACGAACGCUGGCGGCGUGCUUAACACAUGCAAGUCGAACGGAAAGGCCCUGCUUUUGUGUGGUGCUCGAGUGGCGAACGGGUGAGUAACACGUGAGUAACCUUCCCUUGACUUUGGGAUAACUUCAGGAAACUGGGGCUAAUACCGGAUAGGAGCUCCUGCUGCAUGGUGGGGGUUGGAAAGUUUCGGCGGUUGGGGAUGGACUCGGGGCUUAUCAGCUUGUUGGUGGGGUAGUGGCUUACCAAGGCUUUGACGGGUAGCCGGCCUGAGAGGGUGACCGGCCACAUUGGGACUGAGAUACGGCCCAGACUCCUACGGGAGGCAGCAGUGGGGAAUAUUGCACAAUGGGCGGAAGCCUGAUGCAGCAACGCCGCGUGCGGGAUGACGGCCUUCGGGUUGUAAACCGCUUUCGCCUGUGACGAAGCGUGAGUGACGGUAAUGGGUAAAGAAGCACCGGCUAACUACGUG